UACGUAGGGGGCAAGCGUUGUCCGGAAUUAUUGGGCGUAAAGAGCGUGUAGGCGGUCCGGUAAGUCGGUUGUGAAAGUCCAGGGCUCAACCCUGGGAUGCCGAUCGAUACUGCCGGACUAGAGUCCGGAAGAGGCGAGUGGAAUUCCCGGUGUAGCGGUGAAAUGCGCAGAUAUCGAGAGGAACACCUGCGGCGAAGGCGGGUUGCUGGGCUGACACUGACGCUGAGGCGCGAAAGCCAGGGGAGCGAACGGG
rnacentral:rRNA from 1 species